rnacentral:miRNA from 1 species
GUAUUUAUCUCUUAUUGUUUAUAG